CACUUCGUUAAAAAGGUUUGUGAUUUAUGUUAAAUUAUCAUAUCACAGCCAUUUUGACGAGUUUGA
rnacentral:pre_miRNA from 1 species